GUGGUUUUCAUAUCUGAGAUAGUGCAGCGACAGGCAGGCAGCUGCGAAUCACAGUUCACCUUAGCUGAACUUCGCAAAUCUAUUUCAGCAAUGGCAGAAGGAACACAGUGAGUUUGUCGGGUCUACUGAUAGUCCGGCCCCGCCACCGAUGUGGCAAGCGAGGAAAUGUUGGUAGCCUAUUCUCAAUUAAUAUUUUUAAAAGAGUCGGCGAACUCAUCACAUCUUAUUUUGCUAUCGAUGCUUCUUUGCAGAAGGUUAUAUAGGCCUACUUUGCUACAAUGUUACAAUGUAUCUACUCAGAGCGCGUGUCACUACACAGCCUAGUCUUCUUUUCUCACACUCGCAUCGUUGUUGCGACCGUGCAGCGAGGACACAAUACUUACGGGGGAGUGGAAUUGGACGUGAGGGAGAGACAGGGUGAUGGUCGCUCAAGACUUGGACUUGAACUUGAACUUCAUCUUGAAAUUGGCGUCCUUGUCAAAUCGACAUUCAUCUUUUUUCCAUAAGAAAUAUAUAUUUUCUGUGAUUCAAUGACAAACUACGAGGAGAUAUAAGGAAAAUACAGAUGUUUUGAAGACAAGCAACUAAACAAGUGGACAUUUCAGAUCAACAGAAAGUCAAAGAUUUGAAGAAUGCAUGUUAUAGACAUUGUUAUAACAGCACAACAGAGGCCAUUUAUGGAGACAGACCAGACCACAAGGAAGACAUACCCACUCCAGUGCAAUGCAGGUAUACCAAUAUACAACCAUGUAUGCAUUGAAGGUGGCAAGACUGUACACUCCCCGGUACUGAAGCAACUUUGGCCGGACUGUCCACUCCCCCUGUACUGAAGCAACUUUAGCUUCAGCUUCAGUGUUUAAAAAAAAAAAACUCUGGGAAUUUUAUUCCUUUACUACUACGGAGGGUACAAAACAUUAGGAACAACUCCCUAAAAUUGAGUUGCACCCCCUUUUGCCUUUAGAACAGCCUCAAUUCGUCAGGGCAUGGACUCUACAAGGUGUCGAAACCGUUCCACAGGGAAGCUGGCCCAUGUUGACUCCAAUGCUUCCCACAGUUGUGCCAAGUUGGCUGGAUGUUCUUUGGGUGGUGGACCAUUCUUGAUACACACGAGAAACUGUUGAGCGUGAAAAACCCAGCAGCGUUGCAGUUCUUGACACAAAGAAACCAGUGUGCCUGGCACCUACUACCAUACCCUGUUCAAAGGCACUUAAAUAUUGUAUCUUGCCUAUUCACCAUCUGAAUGGCACAGAUACACAAUCCAUGUCUCAAUUGUCACAAGGAUUAAAAAUCCUUCUUUAAACUGUCUCGUUCCCUUUAUCUACACUGAUAGAAGUGGAUUUAACAUCAAUGAGGGAUCAAAGCUUUCAUCUUGAUCUACCUGGUCAGUCUAUGUCAUGAAAAGGGAAGGUGUUCCUAAUGUUUUGUACACUCAGUGUAUACUAUAAUUGACAUGUAGAGCUAUUUAAAUUGUUACCUUUGAUCAAGCUGAUUUUUUGUUAGUACUACUGUACACUCUGAACUGCCUUCAGCAUUUAUUAGAACUGCGACCAAAUAGGCCCCUCUGGUUUUAGAAUGCCUUUAGUGCGUGAGAGUUAGGAGGGGAUUUGAGCAUGGUGGAUUUAGCCGAGACAGAAACUCAAGGCAGAACUGAGAUGAUGAUGGUUGGUUGUAAUAUAUUUUCUCUGUAGAUGAUUAUUACAGCCUGACAAUGUUCAAUUCAAAACAUUAAUCAAAAAGUUAUGUCUUACCCUUGAAAUUGAAGUUGGUUUUCCGGGGAGUGGUUUUUGUCUUUCUCUGAAUGUAUCAUUGGCAUUUUGGGAACUUGGGAACCAAAGCUUUAGGGAUUCCAGUUAAGAGCUGCACACUGGAAUAACAUUAAAUGGGGUUUCAGUUGGGGCCAGUUGGAUGACAUCAAGGACAAGUCAGUGUCCUUUAAAAAUGAAUGUGAGCAUGCUCCUGUGAAGGACAGACAGAAGGCAGUUAUGGCAUAUUUUAGGAGAAGGACAUUUUUCAGGCAAAGGGGGCCAGGUAUACUGAGGGAAUACGACUGGUUAAUAUAACCUUUUUUCAGACUUUUGAGUCCUCUUGAGUCCCCAUCAUUUAUCUAUUUAUCUUGCUAUUUAUUUAUCUCACUAUUUAUCUCGCUCUCUUUCUCCCUCUUCUUUCUGUCUGUCACGACUUCCGCCGAAGUCGGCCCCUCUCCUUGUUCUGGCGGCGUUCAGCGGUCGACGUCACCGGCUUACUAGUCGCCACCGAUCCAUGUUUCCUUGUUCGUUUUGUUUUGUCUUAAUUAUACACACCUGUUUUCAAUUCCCUUAUUAUGUUCCCUAUUUAACCCUCUGGCUUCCAUUUCUGUUUUGUCCGUGAUUGUUCUUUGUCAGUGGUUGUUGGAGGUGUUUCUCCUCACCCUGUUAUUUUGCUGUUGGAGAUUUUGACUUUGGUUUUUGAGUAAACGAGACUGUUUUGAACUCAA